rnacentral:rRNA from 1 species
UAGGGAAUCUUCCACAAUGGACGAAAGUCCGAUGGAGCAACGCCGCGUGAGUGAAGAAGGGUUUCGGCUCGUAAAACUCUGUUGUUAAAGAAGAACAUAUCUGAGAGUAACUGUUCAGGUAUUGACGGUAUUUAACCAGAAAGCCACGGCUAACUACGUGCCAC